rnacentral:rRNA from 1 species
CCCGCCCAAUGGUUUCAAAUUUAAUAAAAUUAAUUGUUUUAUAAUGAAACUUAAAGGACGCAGUAUCUUGACUGUGCUAAUGUAGCAUAAUCACUCGCCACUUAAUUGGUGGAUAGUAUGAAUGGUUGAACGAAUAUUACACUGUCUCCUUUAGAAGAUUCAUGAAAUUAAAAUAAUAGUAAAGAUGCUAUUUAAAACUGUAAGACGAAAAGACCCUAUAGAGCUUAACUAUUGCCUACAUGAUAAUUAAUAGAUAACAUAAUCAUAACAAAUGUAGGUAGGUAGUUUAGUUGGGGCGACUAUCUUCUAAAAAUAACGAAGACAAGCAAAGUUAAUAAAAAACUUAUUGUAUAAACAAUAUAUUUAACAAUUAUAAUAAUAGGCUAUAAUGACCCAUUAAUCCUAAGUAGGUAGAUUAAUGAUUAAUAAAUAAAAGCUACCUUAGGGAUAACAGGAUAAUUUUGUUUUAGAGAUCCUAUCGAAAACAAAGUUUGUCACCUCUAUGUUGAAUUAAGAUAUCCAAGUAGUGCAGAAGCUACUAAGG